UAGCUGAUAGCUGUUUGGUAUAAUUUUUUUUGUCAAAAAGUUAAUUGAAAAGGCUGCUUUGAGCAGCUUUUUGAAUUUUAGCAUUUUGGAGUUGAUUUUUUUAACCAAAUCAAACAAUUAAUAGUAGUCAAAUAAGUCAAAAUUGGCUGAUAGGCUAAUAUUUUACCAAACAGGGCCAUAGUAAGGAUUGACCGACUGAGAGCUCUUUCGAGAUUCUAUGAGUGGUGGUGCAUGGCCGUUCUUAGUUGGUGGAGUGAUUUGUCUGGUUAAUUCCAUUAACGAACGAGACCUCAGUCUACUAACUAGCUAUGCGAGGUAUCCCUCCAUGGAUGACGGAGAAUUAGGGUUCGAUUCCGGAGAGGGAGCCUGAGAAACGGCUACCACAUCCAAGGAAGGCAGCAAGUGCGCAAAUUACCCAAUCUUGACACGGGGAGGUAGUGACAA
rnacentral:ncRNA from 1 species